rnacentral:lncRNA from 1 species
AACAUUUCAUAAAUUCCCUCCAGAAGGGAUUUUUUAAAAGGUAACAGUUAUAAAACUAUCAAAAAUGCCUCUCUUCAAGAGAGAAGAUGCUUCCUCUUUCAGAAGGAAUCAUCACUGGGGACGUUCAGGCUCUGAUACCCUCAAGUCACUUCUGCUCCUCUUCCUACUGUGGGACCCCAUCCUGCCCUUGUACCCUGGCAGCCUGCAGCCAUGAGGGUUUGUUUUUUUUUGCUCACAGUCCCAGUAUCAGAAAACUGAAGUUUUUUCAGCCCACAAUUUUAAUGACUGCUCAGCUUAUCAGAGAGAAUGGAGAGGGUGACCUGGCAGGGAAGCAGACGGUGUCCUGCUGGAUCCCCUGCAAGAUUUUCUGCUUGCUGUCUCCCGUGUUGCAAAAGCAUCAUCUCACUGUCUGCAGACCUGAUGAAGAAGCAUGCUGUCCAGACACCUCUAUGACCAUGGAUGGGUACACAGAUAAGGCAGUACAGAUAGACAGGAGGGACAAGUUCAUAUGGGCUGAUGCGAGGACUUCUGUUUUGACCAAGGGCAGUAGGAUCCUCAUGCCCGGUGACUUACCCAGCACUAGUAUUAAAGAGACUGGUAGAGCACUCACCACAGACCAAAACUUGCAGGAAGGUUAUUCUGCUGUGGUGUGAAUUCAAAAUCUGGAGUGAUAGGACAUGUGAGUACCCCAUCUCAAAGCCAGGUCCAGCUGAGAUGCCCAUUAACUUGUCCUGUAGCCCCAGGAUGCAGAGCAGAGACUAGAUCUGCAAAGUCUCUGGGACACAGCACAGAAAAAUCCCAGGCCAUCCUGUGGCAGAGGGAUGGAGAAGGACUUGUGCCCUUCACCAGGUCAUUCCCCACAUCAAUAUUUUGUUAUUCCUCUCCCACUUUUAAAUGCCCUCACCGACUCCUGUCUUUCAGAAGGGUUAAAUUCCACACUGUUUAGCAACUUGCAUACAGCCCUAACAAUUUCCUUGCUAAGGGCUAUCACUGCUCUAUUCAAGCCUCGUGUUUCAGUGCCAGUGGUCAAACUCCAGAAGCAAAGCAAAUCUCAUUGUACUUAUGUGUGCACCCUCGAGAGCACUAUUCUGCAGCAGUCUUUGAAGCCGAGACUGCUGGGUGGAUUUUCUUGCUUUCAUCUUCCAACUCACAUUCUUCAUGUGUGUAAAAUAGUUUAAAACUGAGCCCCAGUGUGCUUAUAAAAUGCCAGGUCAUUGACAAUUGUAGCGUUCAUUUGCUGUGGUCAAUUUAGUACUAAUAAGCUGAAACUGUUCUGCAGGGAUUCUUCUACAUGGAACAUAAACUCCUUUUCCCUCACUUAAGAACACUUUCCUAUAAAAUGAUUGCAACCUAAUAGUUUUCCUCCCCAUUUUAGUAACCAGUCUCAGUCUCUAUUAGUGCUAUUUCCCCCAGCAGCUUUCCCUAUAAGCUCUAUUUCAAGGCACCGAAUCAAUGAUUACAUGGUAUGCAGUCCAUUGAACUGUCCAUCCUGGGAACCCAGCAUGUAAUACAAUCCCUAAUAUCUUAGUGCCAUAGUAAAAGUAGAAUUUACUGCAAAAGUCUAAAUUCAAUGUUCAGACUCAUUUUUUUUUCCUUUUCUUUCAUUUCAUCCAGAUAUUUUAAAGCAGGUGGGACAUCUUCUCAGGUGCCUCU